CCUUCGAUAGCUCAGAUGGUAGGGCGGAGGACUGAAUAUUCUUAGGCUGUGUUUCAAAUCUGGCUUGAACGA